GCACAAGCGGUGGAGCAUGUGGUUUAAUUCGACGCAACGCGCAGAACCUUACCAGGCCUUGACAUCCCGUGCUACGCUCAGAGAUGGGCGGUCCCCGCAAGGGGCGCGGAGACAGGUGCUGCAUGGCUGUCGUCAGCUCGUGUCGUGAGAUGUUGGGUUAAGUCCCGCAACGAGCGCAACCCUCGCCUUUAGUUGCCAUCAUUCAGUUGGGCACUCUAAAGGGACCGCCGGCGAUAAGCCGGAGGAAGGUGGGGAUGACGUCAAGUCCUCAUGGCCCUUACGGCCUGGGCUACACACGUGCUACAAUGGCGGUGACAGUGGGCAGCGACCACGCGAGUGGAUGCUAAUCCCCAAAAACCGUCCCAGUUCAGAUUGCACUCUGCAACUCGGGUGCAUGAAGGUGGAAUCGCUAGUAAUCGCAGAACAGCAGGCUGCGGUGAAUACGUUCCCGGGCCUUGUACACACCGCCCGUCACACCAUGGGAGUUGGCCAUACCCGAAGACGGUGUGCUAACCCGAAAGGGAGGCAGCCGGCCACGGUAGGGUCAGCG
rnacentral:rRNA from 1 species